CUGGGCUGGGUUUUCACCGAGUCCAGAAGGAGUUCCCGGAGAGUGGAUACGACCAAGGGAGAGCAAAGAGCGCGGGAAAUGCGACUGAGAUAAAUGGGACCAAAAAGUUUGCCUGAAGGAGGGUGGAAAAGUGUUUGCUCCAGGCUUUCUGUUAGCAAACAGCCCGGAAAGAGUGCCCAACAGUGCUAGAACUGGCCUUAGGGCACAGGAGAGCCUGAGAGCUGGGGCUGCUCAUCCUGGAGAGAAGAGAGCUCCAGGGGAUCUUGCUAAUGUAUAUCAAUACCUGAAUAAAUAAAGAGCCAGACUCUUCCUGCUGGUGGUCAAAGUACGUGACACAAUUUGCCAUUAUCCCCGUUGGAGCAGAUGUAGGAUUCACAAGCAGUUACUAAGCCGGAAGGAAAAUACAUCAGAGCAAACUCGGAGGUGGCUGAAUUCUCUUUGUGUAAUGAAGAUUGGGAUGAAAAAGCUCUGGAACAAAGUUGCCUGUUCUUCAGGAGUGGGAUCUGCCACAGGAAUGUUUGAUUUCCUGGUUCAACAACUGCCCAGUGCAGUGCUGCAGUGUGUGAUUGUGACCCAGCUCUCUAACUGAACCACACUGUGCAAUCCUCCAGGGCUGCUACUCAGAAAGCCAGUGCCAAGGAAGUGUUUUCCAAGGAAGGAAAACAGAAAUGGGAGCAGUUCAACAGUUCCUACGCUGGGCAUUCCACCAGAGCUA